CCAAUUGAACGAAAUGUGCCA
rnacentral:piRNA from 1 species